GUUUAAGAUGAUAUACCCCUGUAAAGUUUGGGAAUAAUUCUUUUGAUAUUUUCAGCUUCAGCAUUGGGGAAUAAGCUUCGUUUGACUUGUUCUCACUCAUGGAGGACGACGAAAAGAUCCAUACUAGUCACUGCAUCAUCGACAGCCGCGCCAAACGUUUGACGCAGGACCGCGAAAAAAGGGUCUUUAGGGUUCGUCCCCAGCCACAAUCCAUGGAGGAAGGCAGCAGUCUCGCGGCUUCUUGUCCGGGUAGGAGCAACGGCGGCGGCGAGGGGAGAACCGGGAUCAUCGAUCUCCGCCCUCCUGGUUCAUCCCCGGCCGUUGAUCUCACCGAUCGAGUCCACCUCCUCCCCUGUUCCAUCAAGCACGAUGGCCCCUGCCCCGUCUCCCACUACUUCAAGCCCAAGCAGACAGAUGUGGUAGUGGAUGAUCUGUGCUUGAAAGAAGCCUUCUUUAGAGGGAGGAAGUUGCAGGGCGUCACCGUUCCCCUACCCCCAGGAUAUCGAGGUUACGUUUUGGACAAGAGUUCGGAGAGUGGGAAGAGAUCGGAAACUUCGGAAGGGGGAUUCAACCGGUGGUUGUCCCGUGCUGAGUUUGGGAACUUAACCUAUUGGAAUCAUGACAGCCUGCCUUCACCAGACGAUCCGCUCAUACGGUGCUUCCAUUGGUUUUCUGUUUCUAAUGCCUUGCACAAGCCAGUCACCCAAGCAGAGUUGGAUUCGGCAAUGUCUGUUCAAGGAAGAAAUGAUUGAACUUACCUGCUCACUAAAACCUCGAUGGAAGAAACACUUGGCUUUUAUUCCAGGCGAGGCUACUUUCUGAAUCCUAGUUCCACUCCAAAUUGCUAAAUUGUUGUACGAUGCACGACGCACGUGACCUGCAAAGGCGGUCGAUUUAUGAACGCCAGCCGAGCACCCAAUUAUUGUGCGUGCAUACGUACGUGCGUGCGUCCUCGCACAAGAUUUGUACGCGAUCAUCGCAUCCGCCGUACGUUUUUCCCCUGGUUGCAUGUCCACCGUCCGAUGAGCGUCCAUGGAGCGACCGUCCCCUCCGUCGCGAGCAUCUUUUCUUGGACUGAUCUCGUCCCUAAUUUAAGAAUCUGCGGUGUCAUGAUCCCGAUUCUGGUCACCGCCUC